rnacentral:rRNA from 1 species
AUUGAACGCUGGCGGAAUGCUUUACACAUGCAAGUCGAACGGCAGCACGGGGGCAACCCUGGUGGCGAGUGGCGAACGGGUGAGUAAUACAUCGGAACGUGCCCGGUCGUGGGGGAUAACGUAGCGAAAGUUACGCUAAUACCGCAUACGAUCUGAGGAUGAAAGCGGGGGACCUUCGGGCCUCGCGCGAUCGGAGCGGCCGAUGUCAGAUUAGGUAGUUGGUGGGGUAAAGGCCUACCAAGCCGACGAUCUGUAGCUGGUCUGAGAGGACGACCAGCCACACUGGGACUGAGACACGGCCCAGACUCCUACGGGAGGCAGCAGUGGGGAAUUUUGGACAAUGGGCGCAAGCCUGAUCCAGCCAUUCCGCGUGCAGGACGAAGGCCUUCGGGUUGUAAGCUGCUUUUGUAUGGAACGAAAAGGCUCUGGCUAAUACCUGGGGCUCAUGACGGUACCGUAAGAAUAAGCACCGGCUAACUACGUG